rnacentral:lncRNA from 1 species
GUAUUGCUACUACUACUAUUGUGGCAACCAUGACAUUCACCAACUUCCUCAAGUUCUCCUCCUUCACUCUCCUUUCCCUAACUCUCCUCCACCGCUUCCUCCCAUCCCUCCCCCUCCUCUCCUCGCUUUCCCACCGCCACCACCUCCUGCUCCUCCUCUCCUUCCUCUCCUGCACCCUUCUCUACCUCUACCUCUACGCCCGCCGCCGCCCCCUCCCCGUCUUUCUCUUCGACUACUCGUGCUACCUCCCCGAACCUGAACGCCGCAGCAGCCUGGAGGUCUGCGAGUACUAUGGCUUCCGUUGCCCCCGCCUCUCCCACUCCACCGCCGACUUCAUGCGCGCCAUCUUCCUCAAAUCCGGACUCGGCGACGAGACCUACGCUCCCCCCUAUAUCUUCCAAGAGGACUACGACGCCAAGUUCCGCUACGCUGUACAAGAGGCCGAAGAGGGCAUGUUCGAUGCCGUCUCCUCCCUCCUCUCCAAGACCAGCAUCCCCACCUCCGCCAUCUCCGUUCUCAUCGUCGCCUGCAGCAUGUUCAGCCCCGUCCCCUCCCUCUCUUCCUUCAUCGUAAACCACUUCAACUUUGACCCUUCCAUCAAGACCUACAACUUAUCUGGUAUGGGGUGCAGCGGCGGCACCAUGUGCUGCGACCUUGCCGCAAAGAUCCUAUGCAGCAAGCCCGGGUACGCUCUCAUCGUCGUCACCGAGAACAUGAGCUUGAACUGGUACUUCGGCGAGAACCGCCAGAUGCUCGUCACCAACUGCAUCUUCCGCGUCGGCACCGCGGCCAUGCUCCUGACCAGCGACCCAACCCGGCGCUGCUCCGCGAAGAUGGAGCUCGUGCGCGCGCUGCGGACGCACCACGGUGCGGAGGACGCGGCCUACAACGCGGCGGUGCAGAUGGAGGACGAGGACGGCAGCGUCGGCAUGUCGCUCAGCAAGGAUCUCGUCCGCGUGGCUGGGGCCGAGCUGCGCCGCCACAUCUCCACCCUGGCGCCGCACGUGCUCCCUGCGUCGGAGCUCCUGCGGUAUGCGUGGAACGUUGUGAGGUCGUAUGCCGCAGGGGAUCAUAAGACGGUCCACGUGCCGGACUUCACGAAGGCGUUCGAGCACAUAUGCAUACACACUGGGGGGAAGGCGGUGAUCAACGCGGUGGGGAAGCUGAUGAAGUUUUCCGCGGAGGUGACGGAGCCAGCGAGGAUGUGCCUGCACCGCUUCGGGAACACGUCGAGUAGCUUGGUGUUCUACGAGCUCGCCUACUUUGAAGCUAAGGGGAGGAUAAAGAAGGGGGAUAGGGUGUGGAUGUUGGCGUUCGGAACGGGGUUUAAGGCGUGUAGUUUGGUGUGGAAGGCUCUUCGGGACUCCGGGAUGGACUCGGAUAACCCGUGGCAAGAGUGCAUCCAUAGAUACCCCGUUAAGUAAAAAUAAAAGAAAAAGUUAUCGCCUGCACCCGGUCCACCCUAUAUUAUAUCGUGCAUGCGUACCAUGCAUUCGUCAACUCUCAAAUCUUCUUAGGCCUAAGUUUGAAAACAUGGUGAAAAACAAAACUUGGAGAAUACUUCAUAACUUUUACCAUUCCAUACUAUAAAAUUGCGAUAUAAACUAUCUAGUGAUCUUUGCUACCAAAUUAUUGUGUCGUAAAAAAAGAAAAAAAAGAUCCAAAUUAUUCCUAUCCUCUAAAUUGUCAAAACACCUGUGUUUAUCUACCACAUUGUAAACCAGGCUUCAGUCUUAUUCUGAAUUCCUAUCGUCCGUUGUCUUACGUUAUAUUUUUUGGUAAAAAUUAGAUUACAUGGUUCGGGUGCAGUGCACAGAUGUAGACGGGGAGAGACAUGGGAAUGAAUGGUUGAAUUUGAAUUAUUGCUGCAAUAAAGCGUCGUUUGUACUACACUUUAUCAUCCAAUAUUAUCUACUAGUGCUUUCCGUAUGCUUUUACUGUGUCAUAUAAUCCUUGCAUUUACUAAUGUUCUUUUCUUUUUAAAGGAAAUUACAAAUCUAUCAAAGUUCGUCAUAGUACAGUAAUGAUCUUUGCCAGAAUGAAAAUCUUCGUCUUAGACACGUCUUAAAUUUUUAGUAUUGCGAUCUAAAAGUUUUCGGGUAUAAUCGAAUGCAAAAUUUUUUGAAAAUCUAUGGUAGAAGUAGCGGCCUCCACCAUCAACUGUGAUCGGAUUUGUACAAUAUUCCUGAGAUUUGAUGCUGAAAUAGUGUGUAAUACCUAAAGCGCGAUUACCAAUUCAUGAGCAAUUACACACUAUUUCGGCAUAAUCGUGAGAUUAAAUUGAUAAUCGUGAGCAACUACACAAUAUUCUCCUCGAUUUCAGUUUCACCCCUUUUUUUAAAAAAAAUUAUUUUGUUCUCCUUAUUCUCCUUUCAGUAGAAUCUCCUACUUGCAGUUGAAUGAAUGAAGCAUUUUUUAGCAAUUCUCUUAUGAAUCAAACUUAUUGCACGAGUUUCCCCCCCCAUUUUGCGAUAUAUUUUGUAAUAUCCCCUUGAGAUGAUAAUUAAAUUUUGGGAAAACUAAGUAUAUUAUUAGGCAAAAAUGAAGAAAAAAUAAUUCUCUAUGAUCUAAAAGAAAAUGGUGGUGCUGGAGAAGUCGAGGGACGACGUGUUGGUGCUGGAGAAGUCGAGGGACAACGUGGUGGCGGGGCCUCAGACGGACAAUGGCCUCGGCAAGCUCAGCGACCUCUCCAACAAGUUCUUGGCGGUUAAAGGAAAAGAGAGAGCUGAGAGAGCUGAUAAGGAAGUUGGUGGGGAACGGAACAAGGAAAAGACUGGUGAGAAGGAGGCAAAAGGUAAAGCUCGAGUUACAGAUUGGAAUGCUGGUAAAGGAGAGGAAAAAGGCAAAGCUCGAGGUUUAGAUCGGAUUACGGAUAAGAAGACGGAGCUCAAGAAGACAGGUGGUAUUGUCUGUUAUUCUCAUUAGCGUAAGGUGACGGGACCUCGCGGGAGACUUGCCUCUUCAUCGUCGCCGGCUACCCCUACAGCUAUUUCGACGCCGGUCCGUUCUCAAGGAAGGAAUGAGAGAUCGAAGGCUUUAGUCAAGAAGCCAGGAGUUAUUGCGGGCACCUACGCGGGCGUAAACAGGACUGAUGGAGGCUCAGCAUCUAAUAAGAAGGUGUUAUGGGCUGAUGAAGUGGGGUUGGCAUUAACUCACAAUGCUCUAGGUUGUUCUGAGGACCCUACUCUCAUACCUCGAUCAUCUGACACGUCGACGAUUCACACCAGAAGGAGAUCUGACACGGGAAUUGGGAAGACCAGACCCUCCGUCGCUUCAGGUUUAUACAAGACUUAUAAGGAAGCUCUUCUCACACCCACACCCACACCCCAGCGAGCCACCCGUAGCGGUCAGGGCGCCAAGUUCACUCCAGUCUUCAAAUCCCCGCCCACAUCUUUCUUCACGGGAAAGUGUUUCAGGUGCCUGGCUACUAAUCAUCGGGCGGCUAGUUGUCGAGCGCCACUCCAGUGUGUGCGGUGCUUCAAGACCGGCCACGUCGCAAGAUCCUGCGUGGACCGGUUGCCAAUGGUGGUCUACAGGGAGAUGAGGGCUCGACCGUCCUAUCUCAGUGCUUUUGUUCCACUGUCAGAAGAUUUCUUCUCCAGGCAGAAUCGCUGUCGCAACGCGAUUCUGGUCGACGUUCUUCCCCCCAAGAACCUUGGUCAUUUCCCUCAGGAGACGAUUGCCAACGGGUUGGCGAGUCGUUUCGGCGGCUUCCCUACCGACUUUCAUGUUGCCAAGUAUAGUCAACGUGAUUUUCUGAUCUUUCUCCCGGAGUGGGUGCCGGCGGAUCAGGUGAUCAGAAGAGAGAUUCUGUCGCUAGACAACCUUAGACUCCACUGCUCCCCCUGGAAUCCCUACCAUGGGCUUCGUCGGGCCUCGCUCAUGUACAACGUCUGGAUCCGGUUGGUAUGUUUACCAUAUGAGUGUUGGUCCUCUCGCACAGUGGCAGCUUUGGUUGGCGGUUUCGGUCGUUUCAUACGGGCGGACGACUUCUCGACACGCAUGGUGGAUCUCACAGGAUACCGAUGUCUCAUCGCUGUCAACUUCCUCUCCGACAUCCCGGAAAACUUAGAAAUCACUGUGGGGGAUCACUCGCUCUCGGUGCUUAUCCAGCUAGAGAGAUGGGGCCGGCGCGACGUGGUCGAUCCUGGCAAUCCCCCUAAUGAACGGACCGAUGCUCAUGACCCAUCGCAGAGAGGUCCAGAAGCGCAUCGCCGUUCAGACGAAUCUAGAAGAGGGCGACGUUCGUCGGCCGGCGGCUCUUCAAGUACGGACGCAUCCUGGAACUCGUCGGAAAUCCGGGACAGAAGGAGAGAUGUUCUUGUUCAGGAUGCUUCGCUGCUUCGGAAACCUGCUCCCACUCCGGCUGACUCCCAGCAGGGCCAGGAGGAUACGACUAGGCUGGGUCCGGCGAUCGUCGGCGCGAGUGGGCCAACGGUCUGGAAUUCAAAUUUGGCUGAUGUUGAUGUGGCAUUGAAUGCGAUCUCUGACGGGGCGGCGGGCGACGUUCCUUCGGAGGCAAAUGGAUUAGUUCUUGUCAAUGCUUCGGGUUUGGUGCCUAUGGGAGAUGCAAAGAUGAAGCAAUGCAUUGAUUACUAUAGCUGUGAAAAGCGGGCCAGCUUGAUUUCGGAGAUCUCGUCAUCCAUCUCGAGAACUGGGCAGGGGGUGGUCGUUUGCUUUCGCCCGAAGCGGGCCCACUUGAUCCCCCUAGGCAUUGGGCUCGGUACUGUUCCGCAGGCCAGUCACGCUAUUGAGGGGUGGGGCAGGCAGAUGGCCCACUUGGACCCGGUUUCAGAUGGCCUCGGGUUUGAUAAGGGGCUCGGGAGUGGUCUUAGUUUGCGGGCCACGCAUGUCUCUGGGGGAAGGGGUCAACUCGGCCCGCACGAAGCUGGGGGUGGUGGACGCGGCCCUCUUCCGUGGCCCUCUCACUUUUUUGCGGGGACGGGCAAGCAGAGGGUCCACUUGGUCCCGGGUGCAGACGGGCUCGGGACUGGAGUUGGGCUCGGCUAUGGAACCUUUGCGCGGAUGCAGACGGGCUCGGGACUGGAGUCGGGUGCAGAUGGGCCCGUGACCGGGGUCGGACUGGGCUGUGGUUUCUUUUCGCGGGCCACGACUGGCGCCGUGGGGUGGGGCCGACUUGGCCCGCGCGGAGUUUGGGCCUUUUUUCUGUUUUGGUGGGGGCCUACUGGAUUCUCUGUUGCCGGACCUGGGGGGAUCUGGCGGUUCUCUUUGGUAGCUGCUCCUUCGUUUUCGGGUUUCUUUGCCAUGCUUUUUCGCUCGGGACCCGAUCGCCCCCCCUUACUCCUCGGCCCGGUGGUUGGAGGGGAAGGCGGGGAGCCCCUCUCGAACGGCGACGUUGCCGUUCGGUCGGCAGGUGGACUGGAGACCUAUCAGAUAUUGGGGGCUGUCAAUAUGGAAUCGGCAUGUCGGGAAUGCGCACAGGAGCCCUCUCCCAUAAAUGGUACGGAAAGAUUUAAUUCCGGCUCGCCUGUGGCGGGAGUGAUCAACGGAACGAUGGUCGGGAAGGUACUCUUGUUGCCCGAUAACAGGGGCGUUUGUUCGCCGGUGGGGAUAGUAGCGGGGAUUACUUCUUUGCCCCCCAAUACUGUUCCCUUGACCGUUGAGACGACUACUGAGGUCGGGUUUCCCCAGUGUGUGCGCCGUCGUUCGACCAGAGCUUGUGUGAGGCUGAAAUCGGUAGGCAAUGUAUCGGCGCUUGACCGGGCGAAACUGAGGAAGGCUUUCCUGCUGGAAGGGGAGAACACUGGACCGAAGCCCGCAGACGACUCUCGGAUCAUUAGAAAAGUUGUGAAGAAAAGUGCGCUUUGUAGAGUCAAGCUUACGGGGGUGGAAGCCGAGGAGCUCCACAAGUUCUCGACGCGGGGUUGACCUGUAGUGGGCCUUUUUUUGUGUUUGGGCCGCCUUUUGGUUGUGUGUCGCUUUCCUUAUGUUUAAUAUUAUUACUUGGAAUGUACGCGGUCUGAACGACUCAUGUAAGCGUCGUAGUGUUAGAGCUAUCAUAUCUAAACACGUUGGUUCGGUGAUUUGUAUCCAAGAAUCAAAAGUGGAUUCGGUGUCUCGUUCCUUUCUCCGGUCUUGUUGUGGCUCGAGUUUCGACAGAUGUCACUUUAUCCCCGCUCGGGGAGCAUCGGGCGGUCUAUUCACUUGUUGGAGCUCAAAAUUUUUCGUUUGUACGGAGGCGUUGGUGCGCGAUCACUCGCUCACUCUCAGCUUGAAUCAUAUUACUAGUGAUACGAGCUUUUACCUUACGAAUGUAUAUGGACCGCCAUCGUGGGAUGGGAAAGAAGAGUUCUGCGCCGAGCUAGUCGCUAUCGGUGCGGUGUGUUCCGGAUAUAAAUGGGUUAUUUGUGGGGAUUUCAACUUUACUAGAAACCAGGCUGAACGCACUGGGAAUCGGGGGAGCACUAAAGCGAUGUCAAUGUUCUCGGACCUCAUUUCAAAUCUCGAAGUCAUCGACCUGCCCUUGUCCAACCAAAAUUUUACUUGGUCUAAUAUGCAACGCUCACCAACCCUGGCCAAACUGGAUAGAUUUCUUGUCUCGACAGAUUGGGAUCAAGGUUUCCCGCUCAGCAGGAUUUCCGCGCUACCUAGAAUUAUCUCCGACCACACCCCUUUAAUACUCGAUACUGGAAACUUGCGCACUAAGAGGACAUUUCGGUUUGAGAAAGUGUGGCUCACUAGGCCGGACUUCAUAAAUUACGUACCGAUCUGGUGGAACGAAGUACCCGGGCAGAGGUCAGCCAUCCUUACGCUGACAGCGAAGUUGAGACAUUGCAGAAACAGGAUGAAGGAAUGGUGCAAGACAAAAUUCCAUAGCAUAUCUAACGCAAUAAGAACUUUACAGGAUGAAAUUCGAAACAUUGAUCUCUCGGAGGAACGGGAUAUCUUGACCCAGGAAGUACGGGAUAAACGAGUUGAACUUAAAGCACAACUCCAACUCAUACUAAAGGAGGAAAAAAUCCUGUGGAGAACGAGAGCUAAACAGCACUGGCUAAAAGAAGGAGACAACAACACAAAGUUUUUCCAUGCAGUGGCCAAUGGGCGGAAGCGUUGUAAUGAGAUUCACUCCAUUGAAGAUGAGGACGGUAGACAAAUCUGUAACGAGGAGCAUAAGAAAUUCUGUUUCUUUCAAUCCUUUAAACGCCUUUUCGGGAGUGUGGAAGAUGACCCGCCUUCUUUCGGCGAUUGGGCGGACUUGUAUCGAGAGGACGCCUUACCUGACUCGGACCCCCUCACAUGCCCCUUCACUUUAGAUGAAAUUAAAAAGACUACCUUUCAACUGGGAAGUGACAAGGCGCCUGGCCCCGACGGCUUCCCGUUAAUUUUCUUUCAACACUUCUGGGAGACAGUAAAGGAUAACAUUCUUGAUAUAUUCAGAGACCUACAUGGCAUGGAUCUCUUCACGGGACCGGUCGACUACACGCAUGUAUGUUUAAUCCCCAAAAAGGAAGGAGCUCGCCUGGUUAACGACUUCAGACCGAUUUGCCUCCUGAACGGAAUGCAAAAGAUUAUUUCUAAAGUUCUUGCGAACAGACUUGCAGGGCUCUUACCAUCGAUAAUCUCUCCGUCACAAUCGGCGUUCUUGGAAAAUCGCCUAUUAGCGGACUCUUUCGCCACUGCGACCGAACUCCUCAACUGGUGUGCAAAAACUAAUAGGGAGUGUGUCAGUGUUAAGGUGGAUUUCGAGAAAGCGUAUGACAAAGUCAGCUGGAGGUUCUUGCAAAGUAUAUUACGUUGGCUUGGGUUUAGCGACAAAUGGUGGAACUGGAUCGAACAAUGUAUCUGUAACGCUAAAGUUGCCAUUGUAGUAAACGGUUCGCCGACUAACUGGAUGAAAACAAGGAGGGGACUGCGACAGGGGGACCUAUUGUCCCUCUACUUAUUCAUUUUAGUGGCUGACUGUCUCGCUAGGGUCACGAAAGCAGCAAGGACUAAUAGUUUACUUCAGGGAAUAGGACCCUCAGACGAGUGUCAAACUGUAAUUCUGCAGUAUGCGGACGACACUUUAUUCUUUUCAAAGCCUAAGAAGUCUGCUAUGCGUAAUCUACUUUUCAUCUGGAAGAUGUUUGAAUGGGCUUCUGGUCUUAAGAUAAAUAUAAACAAGACGGAACUUUACCACUUGGGAAUUACCGCAAACAGAGCGAAACGAUAUGCAGAUAUUUUGGGAUGCAGAGUCGGCAGCCUACCGUUCCGAUACUUGGGUCUUCCGCUACAUAUCAACCCCCUCCGUAAGGAAGAGUGGUCGCCGAUCAUCAACCGCAUUGAGACGCGCAUCGACGGAUGGAAGGCUAAACUCCUCUCGCAAGGGGGGAGACUCAUCUUGGUCAACUCGGUACUUUCGAAUCUUCCGUUAUUUUACUUUGCAAUCUUCAAAGUACCACAAUGGGUGUUGAAGCGAAUUGAAGCGCUUAGAAGAUCCUUCUUCUGGAAAGGGUGUUCCAAUAUUUCGGGAGGCUCAUGCCUUGUUGGUUGGAAAACGAUGUGUAGAAGCAAAAAAGAAGGAGGUCUAGGGAUAAAAGAUAUGGAAGCUAUGAAUAAGGCGCUUUUAGCAAAAUGGUGGUGGCGUUUCUUUAACGAGAAAAGCCUGUUAUGGGGGAGGUUAAUCACUGCAUUAUAUUACACCAGAAGAAGGCCGUUACGCGAAGGCAGAUCCUUUAGACCUUACUCAGAAUGGUGGAGAAGUGUAAUGAGCUGUCGAGACGUGUUCAAAAGUGGUGUUUCGUAUGCUCUUGGCAAUGGAAAAAAUAUCAGGUGGUGGUCGGAUAUUUGGAUCGAUGAAACCCCUUUUGGUACCCGAUUCCUACGAAUCUUCAGCAGUAUCACAAAUCAGGAAGCCACGGUUGCACAAUGUUGGAAUGAAAGAGGAUGGAGAUGGCGCUUCUUAACCAGAGACUUUGAUACUCAUACCAGUGGUCAGAAUAGCCAACAGAAGGCGUUGCUCAAAAACCUCCUCUCUCACUUUAGCCCGUCAAAUUCAGAGGAUAUACUAAAGUGGCGAUGGACCGCCAAUCAAACUUUUACAGUCAAAUCACUUUAUGAAUUCAUUACCGACGGAUGAUAGAUUGAUACUUUGUACGAUCAACUAUGGGGGUUAAAAAUUCCGCUCAAACAUAAAGUUUUCAUUUGGAUUCUACUUCGAAAGAGAUUACCUACGGCAGACAGACUGCUGCGCCGAGGGUGCAUCGUGGAUCAGCACUGUAGGUUCUGUGUGUUACUAGCCGAAACAGGUGACCACCUAUUCCACGAUUGUAUCGUGGUCAGAUUUCUUCGUUUUAAAAUAGGAGCCUUUGAGGAGGAGAAUUCGGAUGUGGGGGAUGCACGCCAGCUGUGGACACAGUUCUCGGAUAUCCCCGUGGCCGUUACAAGAUCAAAAUUGUUAACCAAGUUGGCGGCAAUUUGGUGGGUUGUUUGGACGGAGCGCAAUGGCAUUUGUUUCCGCGAGGUGCCCUUUAACGUGUCUAGGGCUCUCGAACGUGUCGCCGUGUUGAUCGAAGCCUGGAACGAAACACUUUGAAUCUCUCCCGACCUCGGUGCUUGGCCCUCUGCUCACCUUCUGUUUAUUUUGGAUUGUUGGUGUUUACUGGGUUUCAUGGACCUCGUUUUUGUUCUCUUGUUUUUUUACUAUUAUUUUCUUUCUCUUGUUCCCUCGGUCCGGAAGUCUUAGCUGCUUCCAAGUUGUAAGCUAAAUUCAUUUCGCUUAAUGAAUGAAGCAGGUAGCUUGCUACCUAUUUCUCAAAAAAAAAAAAAAAAAAAAAAAAAAAAAAAAAAAUCUCCACAGUAAACUUAGUUCAUCUACUAGUGUCGUUGAACGCUGAUGUAUUUCAUCAACUCUUGUUGUUUUAUGCAUUCUUAUUCCUUGAUCUAAGAGGGUGAAAAUUUUUAACAUUCUCAAAAUUAAAAACUACUAUCAUACCCAACUUUGAUUGUUGAGACGUAAGUUUAAGAUUUAUACUUCGAAAUAGUAGGCAACGUGAACAAAAUUAUAGGCAAGGUUCAGAAUUUUAGGCUUACUGUAGAUUGAUAGAGAUUAUUAAUUUAUUAUUGAACUAGCUACUAAUUAAUAAUAUCGGCUGAAGGGCCGAAAUCUAAAAUCCAAAUCUAAUCCAACUUAAGUAUAUUCGUAUUUCUCGGGCUGGGCCACUAAGGACGAUGAGAUUGGGCUGAGCUUUCGACCUUCGUACUCUCAAAUUUAUUGUAUUUGCUCAUGCUCAAUCAUAUAUUUUUUAGAACCAAUAGACUCGAACCUGUAUCCUCAUCGAGUUCCCUUUCGAUGGAGAAAUUAUUGUUUGUGUCGAGUCCAUCAUAUCAUCCAGUGGUUUGGAAUAUUUCAACAUACAUCUUAUCACUUUUUUAAAGAAAUUAAUAUGCUAAUUAAUAUCAAAUAUUUGAGCUUUGUCAACAGCGGUAUAAAGGUACAUGCAAUAAUUUAUCGUCUCCUGAAUUAUUCCCCCCAUAUCAGGCACAAAUAAUUGGACUCUUUAUCAAGAAUUUAAACACCGUCGUAUGGAAUUUUAUUGAAAAUUUUAUUGGCACGGUGUGGCGUGGUGAUUCCGAAAAUUUACGACACGUAUCAUGUUAUAUCAUGCCGAUGUGUGUUGGUCAUAAAAAAAAUAUAUAUAUNCAAAAAAUUUAUCGAUACGGUACGACACGUAUCAUGUCAUAUCAUACCGAUAUGUGCCGAUGAUAAAAAAAAAUAUAUGUAUCGACACAUAAUGAUAUAAAAUAUUUAUUUUAUUUAGUAAUAAAAAAAUUUAAUUUUUUAUUAUGUAUUAUUAUCAAAUUUUUAGAAUUUUAUUAAAGAAAUUAUUUACUAAUUUAAAUAAUAUAAAGUUUUAAGCUGUGACAUUGGUACGGUGGUUGUAUCGUAUCGAUAUCUUGUAAGCACGAUAUGGCACGACGGAUAUGAUCCGUGCUGAUGUGCACUUAAAUACUUACUCUUUAUCCCAUCGAUCGAUGGGCAUUUAAAUCUUUAUUCUUUAUCCCAUCUAUAUUUUCGUUGCUUUACUUUGUUUAAAAAAAUUAAAUUAGUUUAUAACAGUGCUAUCGGUACAUGUAAAAAAAGUAUAAAUUUUAUAUUUUUUAAAUCCAAGGAUCUUUAUUGGAUUCUUAUUUUAUUGUUGUUUAUCAUGCUAAAAAUUAAAAAAAUUUAGGAUGAGCCUUGUACAAGUAGAGUAUUUAAAACAUUAUAUCUUUUAUUUUAUAAAUAAUAUCACGUUAUCAAAUUGGUAUAAUUAGAACUUUUUUUCUUGGUCUCAUAGGAAAACAAAGAGUGUCUUUAGAUGUUUUUGUCUCAAUUUCUUUUGGUGCUAGGUGAUCUUUAAUUAAAUAGAAAAUAAUUAAAUACAUUGGGCGCAAUCUCCGGUUAAGAAUAUUAAUUUUGCUUUAAAUUUUGUGCAUUACAUAAAUUUAAUGUUCUCUUCAAUAAAUUUUUAUUUUGCUGUUAAACUUUUUUUUUUUUUUCCUAUCUUAUACUUAGGGUAUGUUUGAUUCACCGAAAAUAAAGUAUCGAAAAUGACAUUUUUAGAAAGACGUUUUAUUGGUUGUUUAGUUUACGAAAGUGAAUAUAAAAGUCACUUUACGAAAAUGAGCUUAUAAAGUUAGUUAUAACUAAAUUUCACUUUUUUGAUUUCAGCUUAAAAAAUUUGGAAGUCACCGAAAAUAGAGAAAUUAACUAAGAGAUUAUAUUUGAUCUUAACUUUAAUAUUUAAAUUUAUUUUUAAAGUUCAAUUUCGCUUUAAAUUUGAAUUAAAAAUUAUGAUUACAUUCUAAAUUUUAUUUGUAAAUUAACAUUCAACAUAAAAUUCGAAUUAUGAAUUAAAAUGUUCAAUUCGAAUUGUGAUUUAAACUCAAAUUUUAAUUUUAAUUUAAUUUAAAUAUUGAUUUAAAUUGUGAAUUCAUAUUUGAAUUUAGAAUUUAAGAUCAAAGAGUAAAUUAAUAUAUGAUUCAAAUUAUAAAUUAAAAUUUUGAAAUCAAAUUUGAAUAAAUAUUUUAAUUUUUGAGUUGAACAUUUUUUUUAAAAUGUAUUUUCUGUUAUAAGUUAUAACUUAAAUUUUAAAUUCAAAUUGUAAAUUAAAUUUAUGUCUUAAAUUUUAAUUAUAAUUUCAAUUCAUAUUUACGUUUAAAUAUAAAAUAUAAUAUAAAUAUAAAUAUAAAUAUAAAUAUAAAUUUUUAAUUUAAAUUGCCCGUAUAAGUCGUUUGUUUAUUUUUCACAUCUUUGUAUAUAAUUUUAAUUGUUUAUUUUAUAGCCGACCAAAUAAUCGAAGUGAUAAGUCGACUCUCUAAAAGUCAUUUUUGUAAAAUUUCGUUUUUUAAUUUCACUCAUUUUUGAGCAACCAAACAUGCUCUCAUGGAAAGUAUUUACUGUAACUAGUAUAACAUAUAGAAUAGAGCAAUAUUAGGUGUACACUUCUAGAUUAGGUGUAAAAUGUAUAUCCGACUCAUCCAGUUGCCCUUUUUUUUUUAUUAAUCAUGUCAAGUAUUUUUUUUUAAUAUUAAAAGUUUUUAUAAAAUUUGUGAAUCCUUAGGUAGUGUUUGGUUCGGGAACAAGGGGGGGAAUAAGCCCUUGUUCCCCCCUUUGUUCCCAAACGCAAUUUUGGUUCCCGGAAACAGUAGUUCCUGGGAAUCUGGAACUAGCUGGUAUAAGGCUGGAACUGCUGUUCCACCCGUUUCCUGGAACAAGCUUGUUCCUUGAUGAGAACAAGAUUAAUUAAAAUCUAAAUUUAAUUUUAAUGGCAGUAAAUUAUUAAUUAAUCUAAUUAAUAUAUUUAAAUUAUUAUUUAUUACUUUAAUAAUUAAAUAAUUUAAAUAAUUUAUUAUUUAUAAUUAAAUAUUAAUAAUUAGAUAAUUAUUAUUAUUAAUUUAUUAUUUAUAAUUAAUUAUAAAUAAUUAAUAAUAUUCAUUAUUUUUUUAUUAAUAAUUAUUAUUCUUAAUGACAAUCGAUAUUAUUAUUAAUUUAUUAUUUAUAAUUAAUUAUUAAUAAUUAAUAAUUAUUAUUAUUUAUUAUUAAUUAUUAAUAAUUUUUAUUCUUAAUAAUUAGAUAAUCGAUAUUAUUAUUAAUUUAUUAUUUAUAAUUAAUAAUUAAUAAUUAAUAAUAAUUAUUAUUUAUUAAUAAUUAAUUAAUAAUUCUUAUUCUUAAUAAUUAGAUAAUGGAUAUUAUUAUUAAUUUAUUAUUUAUAAUUAAAUAAUAAUAAUUAUUAUUAUUUAUUAAUAAAUAUUAAUAUUAAUUAUUAUUAAUAAUUAGAUAAUCAAUAUUAUUAUUAAUUUAUUAUUUAUAAUUAAUUAAUAAGAAUAAUUAAUAAUUAUUAUUAUUUAUUAAUAAUUAAUAAUAAUUAUUAUUAUUAUUAAUUAGAUCAUCCAUAUUAUUAAUUUAUUAUUUAUAAUUAAUUAUUAAUAAUAAUUAUUAUUUAUAAUUAAUUAUUAAUAAUUAAUUUCUUAUUUAUUUUUAAGUAAUAUUUUUAUUACUAUUAAUUACAUAAUAUAAUUUUAAUUUCAAAUUAUAACUCUUAUUCCUCUUGUUCCAAUCUAACCAUCCAAACACUAUUUACCUUAUUCCUAGGAACAGCUCAAUUUUCAUCCAAACGCAAAAUUGGUCUAGUUCCUGCUUAUACCUGAACUUGUACCUAUCCCUAGAACUAGCAGUUCUUACUUAUAUCCGAACCAAACGCAGCCUUAGAUGAUAACGGGCAUGAAACGUACAUUUAUAUAUACAAUAUACAUAUAGCAUCUUCGUACAUAGAUAUUUUUAAAUUAAUUAUACUAUAACAUGGAGACAACAGAGAGGCAAAUCAAAUAUAAUAUAAUAAUUUUAUAUUAGCUUGAUAUUUUAAAAAUAUUUAUUUUCAUAUUUUUUUAUACUAUGUCAAAAUAUUUAAUAAAUUUUAUUUUUUUAGAGAAAAAUAAUAUAUUAUCUAUUUCGUUUAUUUUUAAAAAAUAAAAUUAGAUAAAAAUAUAAAUUAAUUAGAAUUCGAAUUAAAAAUUUUAAAUACCAAACAUCAAGGUUUUAAUAAAUUUUGUUAUUUUAAGACGAGGGUUAGUUUUAUAACUCAUUUCAGGUUGUAGGUUAUAACCUACUUAAAAAAAAAAAAAACUUUAGUUUAAUGUGGAAUAAUAAAAUUAAUAAGAAUGGGCACGGACUCCGGAGAGGACAUUUCUCCAUGCUCACCCAUAUCUUCCUUUCCUCUAUAUAAGUACCCAGCUUAGCAACAAAAGAGUAGCACCACAGAUACUGCUACCUGUAUUGCUACUACUGCUAUUGUGGCAACCAUGACAUUCACCAACUUGCUCAAGUUCUCCUCCUUCACUCUCCUUGCCCUAACUCUCCUCCACCGCUUCCUCCCAUCCCCCCCACUCCUCUCCUCGCUUUCCCACCGCCACCACCUCCUGCUCCUCCUCUCCUUCCUCUCCUGCACCCUCCUCUACCUCUACACCCGCCGCCGCCCCCUCCCCGUCUUUCUCUUCGACUACUCGUGCUACCUCCCCGAACCCGAACGCCGCAGC